rnacentral:lncRNA from 1 species
UUCACGAAGCUAUUGAGCAAUUGUUUUGCCGAAGAGCAUGGAAAUCCUGAUCGUGAGUCUUAAUUAAUGCUGCUUGCAAGUCUGCUAAGGAUAUUGCAGAUGUAGAACCGUUCCUUAUACAUCCUAUACGAACGGCCUAUCUUGCAAUUUCUCAAUAUUUUACAAUAAAAUUAUGAAUUAUCCCAGUUGUGCUUGUAAUCGCCAAAAAGGUCAGAGAAAAUUUCAUUAUUUUUUUUUUUGUCGGAACCUUUACAAGCAAUUUAAAAAUUUUCUUCUUUAUAGAUCUCUAAUUAUGGUUGUAUAAAUUAUGUAAACGUCCAUUAACAAGGUAGAUAGCACGUGGACAAUAGAACUUAUUCGCAAUAAUCUCAUUUGAUUCUUAACCAGGACAUGCAGUACGAGGGAACAGAAGAGAUAAAGUAGCAAGAAAACGAGAUAAUAAGUAGCGGCAAAAUUGGUUUAAUAAGCAGUUUGUAAAACUUGUGAAAAUCAUUUACUUCAUCAUUUGAUCGCCAUGGUAAUCUUUUUUCGUUGCUUUUAUAAUUAAUUUCUUUACCAAUUCUAAAUUCCCUAAUAAUUUUAAGCUUUCAUUCAUUAUAAAGAUCCACUGCUGUGCAAAAUUACUCCGGCCACCAAAUCAAUUCUGCUGGUGCUAAACAAAAGAUCAUGGGUGAUAACCUAUUGAUUGCUGUAUAAAAUUCUUCGGAUGGCAUUAUCAAGUCUUUCGGAGGCAUAACCAGUGAGAAUGAGUUCUUCAAUUAACAAUACCCAUAAAACCUUAGGAGCAUUGCAUCAUCUUUCUUCUUUUUGGAUUGGCAGGGACUGAGUUAUUUGAGCAGUUUCUUGGUAUUAUUAGUUGUUCAUAAUAAGUCUUCAUAUUUGUUGGUUCAGGAUCUUAACAAGGGAAGACUAGACUGCUUUUAUGACCUCAAUGCAGUACUACAUAUUCUGAAUUUAGGAUAUUUUCUUUCAUGUAAGAAAGUGUUAGUAUGUUCUAUCAUUUAUAUACGUGAUUUUUUCAAGAAUACAAUAAGUUUUAUAGUCCGAAAAAAUGAUACUACUGAAAUUAUGAAAUACUUCUCUCAGUCAUUAUUUCAAGUUCAAUUUGUGGUUAUGAAUUGCAGAUAGUUUAUGUUAUUUUAUCUAUAUUAUCAAAGAAAUACACAUAUUUUCAUCUGUUGCUUUAAUGAAGAUCCUUUACUUAUAAUUUAUAACUAUUUGCUCCCUGCAGUGACUCCUGAUUUGGUUGUUUGAGAUAGCAAUUUAGAAUGUCAGUCGGCGAAAAAGCAAAUGUGAAUACAUGUAUGAUGUUCACUCUUUUUCAACUUUUUCUAAAAGAUGAAAUUGCUAUUAUUGUAAAAUGAAUUCCCUGUAAAUUCAGAAAUUCUUUGAUUCUAUGGGCAUAAAUAAGAUUAGCUUCACAAGCAACUGAGCAAGCCCGUGUACCUUAGCUGUUCUUUUCUUUCAUGGUAUCACAGAGGUAUUGUUGUGAUGAAUUCAACCGUUGAUAAUAUACAACAACAACAAUCAAGUAUAAUCCCACAAGUGGGGUAUGAGGAAAG